ACAAACACACAGUUCAUAUUUACUAAAAUAUGAAUGAUACAGAGAUUAGUGUGGGCCCUGUGCUACGAUAACAUGCAAAUUUAUGAAUCAUUUCAUAGUUUU